rnacentral:lncRNA from 1 species
GCCUCGGCCAGCAAUUCAUUUUGCGCCGCCAUCUUGGAUGUUUACUUUCGUAUACUACGCAUGCGCUGUUAAGACAAUCCGUAAGCAAAAGCCUUUCGUUCGCCGCACACGGAAAGAUUUUGGCACGCGAGGCAGAAAUUAUCAAACAUGUUUGAUAUUUGGCGUAAGUGGCACGAAUGACAAAAGUUGUUCGUAAAUCGCCCGCACACGAGAGCUAUCUCCUUACGCCAAUGGGCACGAAUGAAAU